AUUGAACGCUGGCGGCAUGCCUAACACAUGCAAGUCGAACGGCAGCACAGAUAUAGUUUACUAUAUUGGGUGGCGAGUGGCGGACGGGUGAGUAACGCGUGGGUAUAUAACCUAAAGACGGGGACAACUUGCGGAAACGCGAGCUAAUACCGGAUAAGCUCUGAGGAGAAAAGCUGGGGAUCUGGCGACAGACCUGGCGCUUUAGGAGUAACCUGCGUCCAAUUAGCUAGUUGGUAGGGUAAAGGCCUACCAAGGCGACGAUUGGUAGCUGGUCUGAGAGGACGGACAGCCACACUGGGACUGAGACACGGCCCAGACUCCUACGGGAGGCAGCAGUGGGGAAUAUUGGACAAUGGGGGGAACCCUGAUCUAGCAAUGCCGCGUGUGUGAAGAAGGCCUGCGGGUUGUAAAGCACUUUAGUUAGGGAGGAGUGUUUGAAGGUUAAGAGCUAUCAAGCAGGACGUUACCUAAAGAAUAAGCACCGGCUAACUCCGUGCCAGCAG
rnacentral:rRNA from 1 species